rnacentral:rRNA from 1 species
UACGUAGGCACCAAGCGUUGUCCGGAUUCAUUGGGCGUAAAGGGUGCGUAGGCGGCGCGGUAAGUCGGGUGUGAAAUCUCGGAGCUUAACUCCGAAACUGCAUUCGAUACUGCCGUGCUUGAGGACUGGAGAGGAGACUGGAAUUUACGGUGUAGCGGUGAAAUGCGUAGAUAUCGUAAGGAAGACCAGUGGCGAAGGCGGGUCUCUGGACAGUUCCUGACGCUGAGGCACGAAGGUCAGGGGAGCAAACGGG